rnacentral:rRNA from 1 species
AAUAGAUACCCUGGUAGUCCACGCCGUAAACGAUGAGUGCUAAGUGUUAGAGGGUUUCCGCCCUUUAGUGCUGCAGCUAACGCAUUAAGCACUCCGCCUGGGGAGUACGGCCGCAAGGCUGAAACUCAAAGGAAUUGACGGGGGCCCGCACAAGCGGUGGAGCAUGUGGUUUAAUUCGAAGCAACGCGAAGAACCUUACCAGGUCUUGACAUCCUCUGACACUCCUAGAGAUAGGACGUUCCCCUUCGGGGGACAGAGUGACAGGUGGUGCAUGGUUGUCGUCAGCUCGUGUCGUGAGAUGUUGGGUUAAGUCCCGCAACGAGCGCAACCCUUGUUCUUAGUUGCCAGCAUUCAGUUGGGCACUCUAAGGAGACUGCCGGUGACAAACCGGAGGAAGGUGGGGAUGACGUCAAAUCACCAUGCCCCUUAUGACCUGGGCUACACACGUGCUACAAUGGAUGGUACAAAGGGCUGCGAGACCGCGAGGUUUAGCCAAUCCCAUAAAACCAUUCUCAGUUCGGAUUGUAGG